rnacentral:rRNA from 1 species
GUCGAACGACUCUGGUAUUGAUUGGUGCUUGCAUCAUGAUUUACAUUUGAGUGAGUGGCGAACUGGUGAGUAACACGUGGGAAACCUGCCCAGAAGCGGGGGAUAACACCUGGAAACAGAUGCUAAUACCGCAUAACAACUUGGACCGCAUGGUCCGAGUUUGAAAGAUGGCUUCGGCUAUCACUUUUGGAUGGUCCCGCGGCGUAUUAGCUAGAUGGUGGGGUAACGGCUCACCAUGGCAAUGAUACGUAGCCGACCUGAGAGGGUAAUCGGCCACAUUGGGACUGAGACACGGCCCAAACUCCUACGGGAGGCAGCAGUAGGGAAUCUUCCACAAUGGACGAAAGUCUGAUGGAGCAACGCCGCGUGAGUGAAGAAGGGUUUCGGCUCGUAAAACUCUGUUGUUAAAGAAGAACAUAUCUGAGAGUAACUGUUCAGGUAUUGACGGUAUUUAACCAGAAAGCCACGGCUAACUACGUGCCAGCAGCCGCGGUAAUACGUAGGUGGCAAGCGUUGUCCGGAUUUAUUGGGCGUAAAGCGAGCGCAGGCGGUUUUUUAAGUCUGAUGUGAAAGCCUUCGGCUCAACCGAAGAAGUGCAUCGGAAACUGGGAAACUUGAGUGCAGAAGAGGACAGUGGAACUCCAUGUGUAGCGGUGAAAUGCGUAGAUAUAUGGAAGAACACCAGUGGCGAAGGCGGCUGUCUGGUCUGUAACUGACGCUGAGGCUCGAAAGUAUGGGUAGCAAACAGGAUUAGAUACCCUGGUAGUCCAUACCGUAAACGAUGAAUGCUAAGUGUUGGAGGGUUUCCGCCCUUCAGUGCUGCAGCUAACGCAUUAAGCAUUCCGCCUGGGGAGUACGGCCGCAAGGCUGAAACUCAAAGGAAUUGACGGGGGCCCGCACAAGCGGUGGAGCAUGUGGUUUAAUUCGAAGCUACGCGAAGAACCUUACCAGGUCUUGACAUACUAUGCAAAUCUAAGAGAUUAGACGUUCCCUUCGGGGACAUGGAUACAGGUGGUGCAUGGUUGUCGUCAGCUCGUGUCGUGAGAUGUUGGGUUAAGUCCCGCAACGAGCGCAACCCUUAUUAUCAGUUGCCAGCAUUAAGUUGGGCACUCUGGUGAGACUGCCGGUGACAAACCGGAGGAAGGUGGGGAUGACGUCAAAUCAUCAUGCCCCUUAUGACCUGGGCUACACACGUGCUACAAUGGAUGGUACAACGAGUUGCGAACUCGCGAGAGUAAGCUAAUCUCUUAAAGCCAUUCUCAGUUCGGAUUGUAGGCUGCAACUCGCCUACAUGAAGUCGGAAUCGCUAGUAAUCGCGGAUCAGCAUGCCGCGGUGAAUACGUUCCCGGGCCUUGUACACACCGCCCGUCACACCAUGAGAGU